CACAGCCAUACUUUAACAAGAAUAAAUGCUUGAAUACCUUUGGAGACUUCAACUGCAGCAUUGAAAGCUGCAACUCCAGUGCAGAUGGACAGAAAGGACACACCGCUGCCAUCCAUCAGAAGGAACAUGCAGAGACUGGCCCCAGGAGGACUGUGUGUCCCCAAGGAGGUCUGCUCUGGAUACUCACACGGGACUUCCAGAUGGCACCUUCUCCUAGGUACGACACCUCUUUCCAUUGGCAAUCUCUACCUCCUUCCCUCCCACACCCAGUGCACUUCUUCCAUGCUUGGACUUUAUGUUUGUUUAAAAACAAUAGCUAUUGGUUUUGAUUUCAUUUGGUGCACUGGGUGCUGCUGAUUUGUUAGUAAAAUCUGCUUCAAGAGGUCAACAGGAGACAUCUCAUUGGUCCACAUGAAGUCAAUGUGGUGAUAAAGCCCCUAUCAUUUGCUCAGUUCUGUUUUCAGGAACAUUGGAUUGCAUGCUGGUCCACGCUCUGCUAGACUGGGGGUGAGGCAGCUAUGACCACAGUGCACUCCAUAGUGAGUGCACCUUAUGCCUCUGAUGGAGGCCAUGCAUAGCUCUGAGGCCAGGCUCUACCCUUCCUUGGUGGAGUCAAGGGAAGGACAUGCUAAGUGUGGGAGGCAGUGUUUACUACAGUCCCCCAAAGAACACCUGCAGUGGAAAUGAGAGAUGGAGAACGACAUGAAAUGUACUUGGCCUCACACCUUAAAUCACAGUCCCAGCGACAUUAUGAUCUCAGACUCUGAUUGUAAGACUCAUGGAGGAUUCCAUAGGCCCCACACCCCCACUGUUACAACCAGAGCUGCUCCCAGCAAAGCACGUUCCAUCACUGCAUCUGACAGCCAGCACUUCCCACAAGGCACCCUCCAUCGCCCAUAAUCCUGACAUUGCUUUAAGUUUUCUCAGACCACCGUGACCAAAAUGGUAUGGCUAAACCAUUUAAAACAGUAUCUACUAAAUAAUUAUGAUGCACCAACAAUGUUUUCUAUAUAAGCUCAUUUAAUCAUCACAAUAACCUCAUAAAUAAAGUAGUGUUGUUCACUACAUUCUGCUUCUCUAAGCGAUGAUCAUGGGGUUUGGGUUACUGUCUUAAUCACUUUUCUCAUCCCUGGGAUGGAACACUCGAUACAUGAAACUAAAACGAGGACAGGUUUCUUUUGGCUCACGGCUCAGUCCAUAGUGGGCUGGCUCCCAGGCACAGCAGAGGGGCCUGGGAGAAGACGACAUCUCACAUCAUGGCCGCAGGAAGCAGAACAUGAAGGGAAGGGCCCAGAAGGGAGAUAAACCCACCUUUCGGUUCAAAGUCAGCAGCUGUAAAUACUGGUACCGUAUUUAAAGCCCAAAAGUACAGCGCAUGAUCUCAGGCUCAUGUGCCC
rnacentral:lncRNA from 1 species